UUACUCCAGUUUCAUUGAUCCAACGUAGCCAUCUUAGCUCGACUGACCUGACGCCUCGCGUUGCUGAAACGAAUUACUUAUCCCCCUCUGUCCCCUCUGACACCGCAGCCGCCGAUCAACGAAAGGGACAGCUGUUGCGUUCGUAUAUAAUUAACGUUUGCAUUCAAGUAUUUACAACAAUUAAAUUGACUUAAUUUUUAUUAUGUUCGCGAUAAUUCGAGUGCUUAAUCAUCGCAAAAUGGUUGCCGUACUCGAUUGUUAUAAUGAAACACUUUUUUAUGGCUUUAUAUUUGUUUUAUCCACUGUUUACUCCGUUUAUGCAGAAGCGGAGAUUUCUGUAAAUCUAUCUUUAAAACAUUACAACGAUAGAAAUAAUAUCAAUGGGCGAGCAUUUUUUAAAUAUGCUGAGUUGCAUCCUUCUGACCCGACUAUAAUUCAUAUUGUGAACGUUUCUUCGGACGUUGCUUUCGUUAUUGUGCAAGUUCAUGCUCCAAAAAGGAAUUUCACUCUGUUCAUGUUUAAUACUACUCAUGAAGCGGCUACUUUUGGAUCCAAUGUAGGAGUAUGCUUGACUCGACGAUGAUUGAUUAAAAAAAUAUUCAAUCUAUUAUUGAUAAUCAUAAUUCAAUUCCAACAGCUUAGAUAGCGGUAAUAGUAUACAUUGAAGAAGCUCUAAUUUCAGAAGGAUGUAAUGAACAAUCAUCUGAAACUUGAAUGAAUUCCUUACCUUACAGUAGAAAUAACUGAUAUAUUUGCAAUGAUGAGUGCUCAACCAGUUUCUGCAAAAUUUAUUGGCUACCAUUCAUGUAACUUCUAUCACUUAUGAAAUUUAUCUCGAUGCUUACAAUGACUUUACUGACAAAACUCAUUUUUCUACAAUUUCAAAGAUGCUCAUCAUUGAUGACAUAAUUAAAAAUGGAGAUUCCCCCAUCAAAUUUCAUAUUGAUCUAUAAUAAUAACUUUUAUACAUAUCGUGGAGUUGGAUCAGCAUAUGCCGUGAUUGCAAAAUACGGAAAUUACUCAGCAGCAUACAUACCAAUAUUUUCUUAUGGAUGUGAUCCAGUGUUUAACGAAGAAUCCUGCUGUUUCUUGAAUUCAACAAUGACUAAAGUUAUAUGCACAAUUGUAUUCUGUUGCGGAGUAUUGCUAAUAGUAGGCAAAAACUUUUCGAAUGAGCCAAUGAAUGGUCAUCAGUGUAGUCUGGAGAAGUUUAGUCAGUUAUAUAGCAUUAUGUGUUGUUGAAAUAAAUGACAUCAAUUGGCUCUUAGGAGGAUCGAUUUUAAUAUAAAGUAUUGUAAUCACUAUCAUGUCGUGUAUGGUGCCGUGUACUGGAUACUUUCCAUCAGUGACCACCUUGACUACAUUGAUAAUUUGCAUGUUACACUAUGGAAUGUCAGGCACGUACGAUUAUUUCAUAGAUUCUCCAGGAAAUAACGGAGUUACGUAGCGGAAAGAAAUAUGAUGACAGAUAAGGCAGGGAGAGCAGUUGCAAAUUAUAGGAAAAUAAUGAAAGCCAGCUUAAAGCCAAAGGGGAAUGAGAGGCUCACCCGCGCGCGCCCCGAAGUUAGUUCGACUUUAGUGAAGGGAUGGAACAUUUCGACUCGUUUCUCUCUUACCCCGCGGCUUCUAUCAAUGUUGUCCACUCAUGUGGAAACUCUGCCAGCUCUGAACCCCUCCGCACAGAAGCAAUGGGCAUUUGUGUGCCUCUUUCGUCUUUCUCACCACAGCGCUACCCCUCGUGCACACGCACACGCUUAUAAAAGUAAAAGGGUACCCCUCAACGCGCACGCACAAACUCCCACGGAAAGUCGUAACCAGCUUGAAAGAUUCACAUUUACCUAAUUGUGUCCCUGUAUUUAUUUAGUGCAGAACUUAUUUAGAUUACACGCCCAGUACAUGGACUAUUGCAUAAAGCAUAUCGAGCCCAUAUAUGUAAAGACGAGUGUUAGCAAUCACGAUCAACAAGACCAUAAUUUAUUCCGUGCUCUUUGAACUGUAAUAAUCCAUGUCAAUGCUCUAGAUCAUUUGACUAUAUAUUUAAAAAACAUUCCAAUGAAAAAUGUUUUCAAUUUAUCAACAAUUUCUUAUAUCCAAUCAUGAAUCAUCUUAUUAAUAAGAAAGACUUUAUGAAUUUUUAAUUCUGAAAAAAUUUACGAAUUCAAAAAAAUCCAUUAUUUUAUUAAUAUAUACUUUAAAAUUCAAUCUAUAAUCUAAUUUGAAAAUUAUUUUUAUUUAGAUAAUAAAAUAACAUGGUGAAAAAUACUUCUGACCAUUCUUCUAGAUGCGUAUGACAUUCCAUUCAUGCCAAUACAACCAAAUGAAUGCUGAGCAAUUUUUGGUUCAAUUUCUAUUAUCUUUUCAACUGACUACUGGGCUGAAUCUAGCUUGAAAUAUAUUAUAAUUAAUUACACUCAAAAAUUGAACGAUUAAAAUGGAACGGUUACUUUACCACCAAUCUAAAAUGCAGGGAGAACUUAAACACACAUACGAGCCUCCUUUCAGUAAACAUUAGAAAAGGUUUUAAAGGUUCUGCACCUUUAAUGAACAAAUGGAAUUUUUAUAGGAUCAUUUUAUUGUCUAUCUACGCGUGUCUCUGUCUAUUUGUCCGUCAAGGCGAUCAUUGACUUCCAGAAUUUGUUAAAUAUUUAGCCAGAAAUUUAAAAGUAAAGGAAAAAAUUUUUAAAUUAAUCAUUUCAAAAUCAACGUGUUUAAAUUGCAUUUGUUCAAUUUUGAUUUAAUCAUUAAUGAACGAGAUUAUUAAAAAUUUUGAAAUAAAAUAUGUAUAUCAACGAAUUAAAGUUUGGCUGUGUUGGAAAAGAUUAAUUAUAAUUAAGAUACAUAAAGGAAGAGAAAUUAUUCAUACAACGAUAGAAAAGAAAUUUCAAUAGACAUAUUUUUAAUAAAAUAAAAAAGUGAAAUAUUUUAACUUACUUGAAUAUUUUUCUGACAAACA
rnacentral:lncRNA from 1 species